UUGGGAGCUCUCCCAUAUGGUCGACCUGCAGGCGGCCGCGAAUUCACUAGUGAUUCGUAUUACCGCGGCUGCUGGCACAGAGUUAGCCGGUGCUUAUUCUGUCGGUAACGUCAAAACACUAACGUAUUAGGUUAAUGCCCUUCCUCCCAACUUAAAGUGCUUUACAAUCCGAAGACCUUCUUCACACACGCGGCAUGGCUGGAUCAGGCUUUCGCCCAUUGUCCAAUAUUCCCCACUGCUGCCUCCCGUAGGAGUCUGGACCGUGUCUCAGUUCCAGUGUGACUGAUCAUCCUCUCAGACCAGUUACGGAUCGUCGCCUUGGUGAGCCAUUACCCCACCAACUAGCUAAUCCGACCUAGGCUCAUCUGAUAGCGCAAGGCCCGAAGGUCCCCUGCUUUCUCCCGUAGGACGUAUGCGGUAUUAGCGUCCGUUUCCGAGCGUUAUCCCCCACUACCAGGCAGAUUCCUAGGCAUUACUCACCCGUCCGCCGCUCUCAAGAGGUGCAAGCACCUCUCUAACGCUCGACUUGCAUGUGUUAGGCCUGCCCCCAGCGUUCAAUCUGAGCCAUGAUCAAACUCUAAUCGAAUUCCCGCGGCCG
rnacentral:rRNA from 1 species